GACGAACGCUGGCGGCGUGCUUAACACAUGCAAGUCGAACGGAAAGGCCCUGCUUUUGUGGGGUGCUCGAGUGGCGAACGGGUGAGUAACACGUGAGUAACCUGCCCUUGACUUUGGGAUAGCUUCAGGAAACUGGGGCUAAUACCGGAUAGGAGCUCCUGCUGCAUGGUGGGGGUUGGAAAGUUUCGGCGGUUGGGGAUGGACUCGCGGCUUAUCAGCUUGUUGGUGGGGUAGUGGCUUACCAAGGCUUUGACGGGUAGCCGGCCUGAGAGGGUGACCGGCCACAGUGGGACUGAGAUACGGCCCAGACUCCUACGGGAGGCAGCAGUGGGGAAUAUUGCACAAUGGGCGGAAGCCUGAUGCAGCAACGCCGCGUGCGGGAUGACGGCCUUCGGGUUGUAAACCGCUUUCGCCUGUGACGAAGCGUGAGUGACGGUAAUGGGUAAAGAAGCACCGGCUAACUACGUG
rnacentral:rRNA from 1 species